CCGACCUUAGCUCAGUUGGUAGAGCGCAAGACUGUAACGGGUUACCUAUCUUGAUGCCGCCUGUUCGAUCCAGGCAGGUCGGA